rnacentral:lncRNA from 1 species
UGCCCUGAGAGUCAGGGGCAAGGGGUGGAGAGAGCAGUCACCCAUCUACUGAAGAUUGCCAAGCCCACUUCUUCAGACCAAGGCUGCAGGGGACAGGCGCAGUUAGGCAGGUCUCCCCAAAUCAUGAUCAUACAUUCCUUUUUUCUGCUUAAAAGCUGAUGUAGCUGUGCCAGGGAGCAGCAGGCCAGGUCAGUGGGAGAUGACGCUGGUUUCCAGGAAACUACAUGAAAUUUGGUGAGAGAUGAAGAAACUGAGUCGCUGAGAUCUGUUGGUUCGAUGGAAAACUACGGUCGUCCAAAUGCUGCGCCUGAGCAGAGGCUGGAGAGGGUGGGAAGAGGCUGUGGGAAUGGAAGCAUCCGUGGGUGUUCCUCUCUCUUGAAAGAGCAGCCAGUCGCCCACGUCGGAAAGAGAUGUGUGUCUCUUCCCUGAUCAUCCUUUGCAGAAGAGGUGGCCAUGAGGCUUAGCAAGACAGGGUGGACACUGUGGCUCACUGUGGCUCUACGGUGGGUGCCUGU